rnacentral:rRNA from 1 species
UCCGACUGNUUUAACAAAAACAUAACCUUUAGNNNCUNNAUAACAAGUAUUAAAGGCAACGCCUGCCCAGUGAACAAUUAAACGGCCGCGGUACCCUAACCGUGCAAAGGUAGCGUAAUCACUUGUCUAUUAAUUGUAGACCCGUAUGAAAGGCAAAAUGAGGGCCUGACUGUCUCUUAUAAUAAAUCAAUUAAACUGAUCUCCCAGUACAAAAGCUGGAAUACAAACAUAAGACCAGAAGACCCUGUGAAGCUUAAACCAAACUAUUAAAUCAAAUAAUAGCUCCUUUCGGUUGGGGCGACCUUGGAAAAAAAAAGAACUUCCAAAAGGCUGACAAGCCAAAUUUAACNNGACCCAGUNNACAGCUGAUAAUCGAACCAAGUUACUCCAGGGAUAACAGCGCUAUCCUCUUCAAGAGCCCAUAUCAAAAAGAGGGUUUACGACCUCGAUGUUGGAUCAGGACAUCCUAAUGGUGCAGCAGCUAUUAAGGGUUCGUUUGUUCAMCGAUUAACAGUCCYACGUGAUCUGAGUUNCARACCGGAGA